GGACCUACCGUGAGGUAGACCCCCGCCGCUGUAUCAGGCUCGCCUUGAAACUGACCCAAAGAAAUUUGGCGUUAGCUAUAAAUUUUGGAACGUCUCCUCUAGGGGAGACAAA
rnacentral:snRNA from 13 species